GACGAACGCUGGCGGCGUGCAUAACACAUGCAAGUCGAACGGAAAGGCCCUGCUUUUGUGGGGUGCUCGAGUGGCGAACGGGUGAGUAACACGUGAGUAACCUGCCCUUGACUUUGGGAUAACUUCAGGAAACUGGGGCUAAUACCGGAUAGGAGCUCCUGCUGCAUGGUGGGGGUUGGAAAGUUUCGGCGGUUGGGGAUGGACUCGCGGCUUAUCAGCUUGUUGGUGGGGUAGUGGCUUACCAAGGCUUUGACGGGUAGCCGGCCUGAGAGGGUGACCGGCCACAUUGGGACUGAGAUACGGCCCAGACUCCUACGGGAGGCAGCAGUGGGGAAUAUUGCACAAUGGGCGGAAGCCUGAUGCAGCAACGCCGCGUGCGGGAUGACGGCCUUCGGGUUGUAAACCGCUUUCGCCUGUGACGAAGCGUGAGUGACGGUAAUGGGUAAAGAAGCACCGGCUAACUACGUG
rnacentral:rRNA from 1 species